rnacentral:rRNA from 1 species
UGCCAGCAGCCGCGGUAAUACGGAGGGUGCGAGCAUUAAUCGGAUUUACUGGGCGUAAAGAGCGCGUAGGCCGAAGUGAAAGUCAGAUGUGAAAGCCCGAAGCUCAACUUCGGAAUUGCAUCCGAAACUUCAUUUCUAGAGGAUAGACGGAGAAGACGGAAUUCCACGAGUAGCGGUGAAAUGCGUAGAUACGUGGAAGAACACCGGUGGCGAAGGCGGCUCUCUGGUCCAUACCUGACGCUGAGGCGCGAAAGCGUGGGGAGCAAACAGGAUUAGAUA